rnacentral:rRNA from 1 species
GACGAACGCUGGCGGCGUGCCUAACACAUGCAAGUCGAGCGAGUGAAUCUCCUUCGGGAGUGAAGCUAGCGGCGGACGGGUGAGAAACACGUGGGCAACCUGCCUCAUAGAGGGGAAUAGCCUUCCGAAAGGAAGAUUAAUACCGCAUAAGAUUGUAGCUUCGCAUGAAGUAGCAAUUAAAGGAGCAAUCCGCUAUGAGAUGGGCCCGCGGCGCAUUAGCUAGUUGGUGAGGUAACGGCUCACCAAGGCGACGAUGCGUAGCCGACCUGAGAGGGUGAGCGGCCACAUUGGGACUGAGACACGGCCCAGACUCCUACGGGAGGCAGCAGUGGGGAAUAUUGCACAAUGGGGGAAACCCUGAUGCAGCAACGCCGCGUGAGUGAUGACGGCCUUCGGGUUGUAAAGCUCUGUCUUCAGGGACGAUAAUGACGGUACCUGAGGAGGAAGCCACGGCUAACUACGUGCCAGCCGCCGCCGUAACAC